GGCCUGGUUGGGUGGUCUUGCCGCAAGGUAAGCACUGCUCCGAUCGGGUCUUUCCUUCUGGGGAACCAAUGUGCUCUUAACUGAGUGCGUUGGGGAGCCAGGACUUUUACUUUGAAAAAAUUAGAGUGUUUAAAGCAAGCGUACGCUUGAAUACAUUAGCAUGGAAUAAUGAAAUAGGGC
rnacentral:rRNA from 1 species